rnacentral:rRNA from 1 species
AUUGAACGCUGGCGGCAUGCUUUACACAUGCAAGUCGAACGGCAGCGCGGGCUUCGCCCUGGCGGCGAGUGGCGAACGGGUGAGUAAUGCAUCGGAACGUGCCCGGUAGUGGGGGAUAGCGCGCCGAAAGGCGGACUAAUACCGCAUACGACCUGAGGGUGAAAGCGGGGGAUCGUCAGGCCUCGCGCUAUUGGAGCGGCCGAUGUCGGAUUAGCUAGUUGGUGGGGUAAAGGCCUACCAAGGCGACGAUCCGUAGCUGGUCUGAGAGGAUGACCAGCCACACUGGAACUGAGACACGGUCCAGACUCCUACGGGAGGCAGCAGUGGGGAAUAUUGGACAAUGGGCGCAAGCCUGAUCCAGCCAUGCCGCGUGUGGGAAGAAGGCCUUCGGAUUGUAAAGCGCUUUUGUUCGGGAAGAAGUGCAGUGGGCUAAUACCUCGCGGGGAUGACGGUACCAGAAGAAUAAGCACCGGCUAACUACGUG